CAGUGCUUUGGACAUGAGAGACUUGCCUUCAUGACUGUGUUCUAGCCCACUGUCCAGAUGUGACAUAACAGAAUGUUAUGGUACAGAAGCAGGCAGAUCUUUCUGUGAGUUCAAAGCCAGCCUCAGCCUGGUCUUUAUUCUGAGCUCCAGGCCAGCCAGUGCAAUGACCCUGUCACAAAACAAACAGAUGUGAUAAAGGGACUCUUACAUUGUGUGCCUGAGUUUAAGCAAUGGCUAUGUGGUGUAUGUAUGUGAAGGUGUGUUUAAUCUGAACCCUGUAAAAAUGUGGACAGUGGGGAGGGGCUGACAGGGAAGGGCUGUGCAUAAGAACGAGAGAGAGAGAGAGAGAGAGAGAGAGAGAGAGAGAGAGAGAGAGAGAGAGAGAGAGAGAGAGAGCCCUGUUUCAGUCAGAGCCAGGAGAGCUAUGCUUUGGGUAUGUGGGGGAGGCACAGCUGGGGCUGGAACUGGAGAGUGGGAGGGAGGGAGGGAGGCUGGGGAGCCACAUCCUUGAUCUCUGUUCUGUUUCAGUAAUUCUGGACUUGGUGCUCUGGGUCUCUGUGUGACUCUGGGUGUCCCUCUCUGUAAUGUCAGGAUCUUGGCAUCUGUUUCUCUUCUGGGUCUUGGGUUAGGAGGCUGAUCAUGUGACUCUGGGUCUCCACCUCUCCAGCCUACUUGGCUCAGUGUCCCUCUCUAUGUCUCUGUCUCUGCCUCCAUGUCUGCCUCUGUCCUUCCUUGUCCUUGCCAGGAGGGGGGAGGGGCCCGGGACUCAGAGAGCAGGUGUGGGCUCACUCAGGCAGCAGGGAGUGAAGCCCAGGAGGGCCAAGAGCCAGCAGCCCUGGACAGGAGCACACUCCAAGAUACACACCUUCCAAGUGCUCACAGGAACACACAAUGAACUGUAAGUACAAGGAUGAUUCCUGGGGACUUUUCACAGGAACACACACAGGUACAAAACUAAACGCACAGCACAGUCACUCCCAGAAGCACAUAAGGAUGCCAGACACUGGCUCACACAGACAUGCUUCAUGAAAAAGCCUCAGUCAAAUCCUCAUCUAGACACAGAGAAAACCCUAGAGCCACAAAUAUGCACAGGGACACAGACCUUGAGGCACACAGACACAAAGGUAGCAGAUGCAGGCACACAGGUCCGCUCAGCACACUCAAAAAAUCACACCCAGGAAUCAGGAGGGAGAAGCACACAGAAGCAUAAACCCUCAAGGGCAGUCAGAGACAGAGGCACACGGAGGCACCCACAAGGGACUUUGGCAGAACAGCCUCAGGUACACACUCCUCCCUCAGGGCUCACUUGGAGACACGCCCAUAGGUG
rnacentral:lncRNA from 1 species